GAGCACAGACACAGUGUGACCACAAGGUGCUGCUCGAGUUAUCUACACAAAACAUGAACUGAGCAGACACACUACCCAAUGUCACUUAAUGUCUCCGUUGUAUGUAAACCAAAAUAUUUGAAUUUAUCGAUCUAUCGAGGAAAACUGAUGUGGGGGGAAGCAGACACAGUGCCUCAGUAUCCUAAUCAAAGAAGCACCGUUACAAGGCUAGCUGGAACAUUAUACAUCAUGGUGGGAAGCAUCUUCAUGGUCUUAUCAGGACUGUGUAUCCUCCCCUUAUGCUCGUAUCAACUUUACCACCUUGUUAAAGAUGCAAAGAACUGGACUGAAGCCCAGCGUUACUGCAGGGAGAAGUACACAGACCUGGUUACCAUAAACAGCGAGGAAGUCAUGAUCAGGCUGAGUCACAUAUUAUGGGGUUCUGAGGAUGAAGUCUGGAUAGGUCUGUAUGGUGAUUUUAACAACUGGAAGUGGUCUCUGGACAGGAAGAGAUUUUACAGAGAAGGAGAGGCUGAGCUCAGGUUGUGGGCCGCUUGGGAGCCCAAUGCCUUUCACGGAAAAUUUAUGUGUGCUGACAUUGGAACUGAUGGUGGAUGGUCAGAUUAUUGGUGUGAUUCCGAACGCACAUUCGUCUGCUACAAUGAAUUUUCAAAGACUAGAUUCAUCUAUGUAAAAACUCUCAUGACUUGGACUGACGCUCAGAGGUACUGCAGGGCGAACUACACAGACCUUGCCAGUGUGAGGAACUCAACUGAGAAUGAAGAAAUCCGUAGGCUGGUGGAUAAUUAUGCGUGGAUCGGCCUGUAUAGAGAGUCUUGGAAGUGGUCAGAUGGUCAGCGGAUGCAGAUGACUUCAUUCAGUAGCUGGAAUUGGGGUCAACCAGAUAAAAUCAUAGAUUCCUGUGUGACUACAACUCACAGUAAAUGGAAUGCAAGGCUUUGUAACAACACAUAUGCUUUUGUGUGCAGCGAAUAUGCAGUGCUCAAGCGGACUGUGAAGGUGAUUCUGAGAAAAUCUGACCCCUCAGUGGACCUGGAAGAGAUGCAGGACUCCAUCUUGCAGCAGAUAUUCAUGUUUCCAAGAGGAUGAAGAUGACUGGUGAUCCAAUGACAUUUCAUCCACCAUGAGGCUGACAUUUGUAUUUCAGUUCAACCAGAGACUGAAGGACCACGGCCUGGGUCAACAAGUCAAACUGAGAUGGAUGGUGCAGCCUGAUGGAAAGAUCUUCCAUUCAACAGAAGCAGAAGAGGAAAAAUAGAAGAAGAAGUGCUGAUACGUCUUCAAAUUGUGAUUUUAUUUUUCCAUGCUUCCAUUAUUUUUGAUGAAGUUUUUGUUAUUAGUUCAUAAGAAUUAAUAUCUAGCCUGCUUCAGAAAUACAGUACAUCACGGGGAUCCUUCCCCUUGAUCAGGAAAAGUCUCAUUUUACUUUUAGCAGAGUUGGAUGUUUUUCAUGUAAUAAAUUUUUUCUUUAGCAUUAAAGUGUGUUGGACUUAGUUUUGUUCAUGGUUGAUAGCAAACAAUAGUGCAGUACUUGUUAUAUCUUUCAGGUUGAAAAAAUUAAAGAACUUUGAGAGUAAGCAAAUUUUAUGAUGACUUUGUUUCACGGCACACAUACACACACUCACCACCAUACUCUCAUUUCCCUUUGAUUUUUGUGUUUAAAUUCAUAGCAUUUUUAUUCAUUAUAUAUAAUUGUACUUUGUUCUGCUUUAUUAUUUUACUUGGCUUGUCAGUUUGAGGUCAGAUAGUUGUUGGUUUUUGGCCCUUGACAGUAAUGAGCAUGCAGUUACUGCAGGUGUUGUAUAGCA